rnacentral:lncRNA from 10 species
UCUUCACUUGAUUGCAUAUGUAAAGGCCCUAUUUCCAAAUUAGGGGAGCUAGAGGAGCAGCCAGGAGAUGUGAACUCAUUCUCGCCCUCAAGUCACAUUGACUCUGCACCUAGAAAGGCAGCAGGCAGUAGUAGCAGAUCAGGGGUGCAAAGCUGUCCCUCUGGAGUUGUACUGCCUAGGUUCAAAUCUUAGAUUCAUUCUGGAGAGACAAGAUAGAAACUUCUCUAAGCCUGUUUGCUCAUCUGUAAAAUGAGGUUAACAGUGCCUGCUGCUUGGAGUUACGCAGAAGUA